rnacentral:rRNA from 1 species
CCUACGGGUGGCAGCAGUGAGGAAUAUUGGUCAAUGGCCGUAAGGCUGAACCAGCCAAGUAGCGUGAGGGAUGACGGCCCUAUGGGUUGUAAACCUCUUUUGUGCGGGGAUAAAGGUGUCCACGUGUGGAUGUUUGCAGGUACCGCAUGAAUAAGGACCGGCUAAUUCCGUGCCAGCAGCCGCGGUAAUACGGAAGGUCCGGGCGUUAUCCGGAUUUAUUGGGUUUAAAGGGAGCGUAGGCCGGUCUUUAAGCGUGCCAUGAAAUUUUGUGGCUAAACCCUGAGACUGCGGCGCGAACUGGCGACCUUGAGUGGGCGAAAGGCAGGCGGAAUUCGUGGUGUAGCGGUGAAAUGCUUAGAUAUCGCGAAGAACCCCGAUUGCGAAGGCAGCAUGCCGGAGCGUUACUGACGCUGAAGCUCGAAAGCGCGGGUAUCGAACAGGAUUAGAUACCCCAGUAGUC